UGAACGCUGGCGGCGUGCUUAACACAUGCAAGUCGAGCGAUGAAGUUUCCUUCGGGAAACGGAUUAGCGGCGGACGGGUGAGUAACACGUGGGUAACCUGCCUCAUAGAGUGGAAUAGCCUUCCGAAAGGAAGAUUAAUACCGCAUAAUGUUGAAAGAUGGCAUCAUCAUUCAACCAAAGGAGCAAUCCGCUAUGAGAUGGACCCGCGGCGCAUUAGCUAGUUGGUGGGGUAACGGCCUACCAAGGCGACGAUGCGUAGCCGACCUGAGAGGGUGAUCGGCCACAUUGGGACUGAGACACGGCCCAGACUCCUACGGGAGGCAGCAGUGGGGAAUAUUGCACAAUGGGGGAAACCCUGAUGCAGCAACGCCGCGUGAGUGAUGAAGGUUUUCGGAUCGUAAAGCUCUGUCUUUGGGAAAGAUAAUGACGGUACCCAAGGAGGAAGCCACGGCUAACUACGUGCCAGCAGCCGCGGUAAUACGUAGGUGGCGAGCGUUAUCCGGAUUUACUGGGCGUAAAGGGAGCGUAGGCGGAUGAUUAAGUGGGAUGUGAAAUACCCGGGCUCAACUUGGGUGCUGCAUUCCAAACUGGUUAUCUAGAGUGCAGGAGAGGAGAGUGGAAUUCCUAGUGUAGCGGUGAAAUGCGUAGAGAUUAGGAAGAACACCAGUGGCGAAGGCGACUCUCUGGACUGUAACUGACGCUGAGGCUCGAAAGCGUGGGGAGCAAACAGGAUUAGAUACCCUGGUAGUCCACGCUGUAAACGAUGAAUACUAGGUGUGGGGGUUUCAACACCUCCGUGCCGCCGCUAACGCAUUAAGUAUUCCGCCUGGGGAGUACGGUCGCAAGAUUAAAACUCAAAGGAAUUGACGGGGACCCGCACAAGUAGCGGAGCAUGUGGUUUAAUUCGAAGCAACGCGAAGAACCUUACCUACACUUGACAUCCCUUGCAUUACUCUUAAUCGAGGAAAUCCCUUCGGGGACAAGGUGACAGGUGGUGCAUGGUUGUCGUCAGCUCGUGUCGUGAGAUGUUGGGUUAAGUCCCGCAACGAGCGCAACCCUUGUCGUUAGUUACUACCAUUAAGUUGAGGACUCUAGCGAGACUGCCUGGGUUAACCAGGAGGAAGGUGGGGAUGACGUCAAAUCAUCAUGCCCCUUAUGUGUAGGGCUACACACGUGCUACAAUGGCUGGUACAGAGAGAUGCAAUACCGCGAGGUGGAGCCAAACUUAAAAACCAGUCUCAGUUCGGAUUGUAGGCUGAAACUCGCCUACAUGAAGCUGGAGUUACUAGUAAUCGCGAAUCAGAAUGUCGCGGUGAAUACGUUCCCGGGUCUUGUACACACCGCCCGUCACACCAUGAGAGUUGGCAAUACCCGAAGUCCGUGAGCUAACCGCAAGGAGGCAGCGGCCGAAGGUAGGGUCAGC
rnacentral:rRNA from 1 species